UACGGAGGAUGCGAGCGUUAUCCGGAUUUAUUGGGUUUAAAGGGUGCGCAGGCGGUCCGUUAAGUCAGCGGUAAAAUUGCGGGGCUCAACCCCGGCCCGCCGUUGAAACUGGCAGUCUCGAGUUGGAGAGAAGUAUGCGGAAUGCGUGGUGUAGCGGUGAAAUGCAUAGAUAUCACGCAGAACCCCGAUUGCGAAGGCAGCAUGCCGGCUUCCGACUGACGCUGAAGCACGAAAGCGUGGGUAUCGAACAGG
rnacentral:rRNA from 1 species